GAGUGAGCAAUACGAGAAGAAAGAAGACGGUGUGAAAAGUGCACGCGAAAUUUUUCAAGUAAAAAAUUAGCAGGAAGAAUAGAUAAAUUAUAUUAUUUUCCAUCGAGAAAUUUAUAUUGCAUGCAGAAAGAAAAUAAAAGUAAUAAUGUUUAUAUUAAUUUGAGUGAAAUUAUGUAAAUAAGAAAAGAUAUUAAAAAAUAUAUGUGGUGUUUGUGUAUUUCGAAAUAUAAAAAAGCUGUUGUUUUACUGGCGCUGCUGCUUCGACAUUGUCUUUUAUAAAAAAUAGUCCGUUUUUCUAUAAACAGAUUAUUAAUUGAUUCACUAUGAUGGAACUGGAGCCACGAGUUGCCUUGUUGCAAGACUUACGUUUACAAACUUUUGAUUCAAUACGCUUUGCUUCGUAUCGUACUGCUUCCAAAUUGCGUUAUAUCCAAAAGUCGACAAAUUUGCAUUUAGUUGAUAUAUGGAAUGUUAUUGAAGCUUUUCGUGAGAAUGGUUUAAAUACUUUGGAACCCCAGAGUGAUGUGAGUGUAGCCCGUUUAGAGACGCUGGUUUCAUCGCUGUAUCAUAAUCUGAACAAGCGUUUACCGACUGCACAACAGGUCCCGGUUGACUCAAAGGCAGGACUAUUGCUUAAUUGGUUACUAGCAGCGUAUACCAGUGACAACUCUGGCAAAAUACGCGUGUUUUCUAUAAAAGUGGCUUUGGCUACGAUGUGUUCUGGCAAAUUGGUGGAUAAAUUGAGAUAUAUUUUUUCUCAGAUCUCGGAUGGUGCAGGUCAAUUGGUCAGCUGGAAAUUGGGUGAAUUUUUAAGGGAGGUGCUUGCUUUGCCGGCUGCUGUGUACGAAUCGCCUACUUUUCACUAUAAAGAGGGAUUGGAGGAACAGAUAUUCUCGUCAGAAAAUAAAGUCACUGUUAAUGAUUUCAUGGCAACACUUAUGUCUGAACCUGGCCCAUCGUGUCUCGUAUGGUUACCUUUGCUGCAUCGAUUAGCUACAGUUGAAACGAUUGUGCAUCCGACAAUCUGCUCUGUCUGUCACAAGGAAAACUUCACUGGCUUUCGUUACCGUUGUCAGCGGUGUCACGCCUACCAACUGUGCCAGGAAUGCUUUUGGCAUGGCAAGACAUCACUGAACCAUCAAAACGAUCACGAAGUCAAGGAAUAUUCAAGUUACAAAUCGCCCAGUAAACAGAUUGGCCAUUCGUUGCGCAAAAGUUUCCGAUGUGUGCCAGAGAAGACGACUCAAGUGUUGCCACGAUUUCCUGAACAGCCGGAGAAGACACUGAAUCUGUCACAUAUUGUGCCACCCUCACCACUGCCUUCGCAUAAUGGUUUCACUGAUCCGACAAUGCUUCAUGGCUUAGGUGGUGCUAUACCAGGAGGUGGGGGCGGAGGUCUACCCAGCGGUCUUAUGUUCGAUCGUUCUAGCACCAUUGAUUCACGAGCCACUGGACGAAGUAUUGACAGUGCGAAUGGUGUUUCAUCAUCACGGGUGGCGGCUGCAUCAGCAAACGAUGAAGAACAUCGCUUGAUAGCUCGAUACGCAGCCCGACUUGCACAGGAAAAUCGUGCACCAAGUAGCAGCAGUGCAGCCAAUGCCGACAAUCAGCAUCCAAUAACUUCAGACAACUCUCGUGCUCAGCGGGAGCUUAUAACACAACUAGAAUCAAAAAAUAAAGAAAUUAUGCGUGAAAUCGCGAGGUUAAGACGACAACAAGAAGCGGAACAGAUGGCGCCUGAAAAUCCUGCUCUAAUUAGUGAGUUACGGGCGUUGCGUCAGCGCAAAGGCGAACUCGAAGGCCAUCUGGGAGCUUUGCAAGACUCACGACGGCAAUUAAUGGAACAACUGGAGGGUCUAAUGCGAAUGUUAAAAAGUCAGCAAACUUCUUCACCCAGAUCCACGCCAAAUUCUAGCCCUCGUUCUGGUAAAUCACCUCCCAUGCCUGGAGGCGGUCAUUCGGUUGUAGGCAGUGGUGGUAGCGGUGGUAUAAACACCCUGGGAACAUCUCCAAUUGGUUCGAUGCACACCCAAUCAUCUUCCCACUCACUAAUAGGCUCUGGGAAUGUUUUGCGCGUUCAACAGACAGCCUCGAUAAAUCAAGGUUCGUUUAAUCCAAAUCAAAUGGAUCAUGUUAGUCCACAAAUGGGUGGAGAUAUGAGAGGAGGUUUUAGCACUAAUGGGAGUGGUAUUAAUCCAGAUGAAGGGUUUCAAAAUGCAAAUUAUGAGUUUAAUGAAGAAAUUUUUGAUUUUGAUUUCAAUCCAUUGUCGACACUUCUCAAUGACUCAAAUACAGACAUACGUCAUAUAGAAGGUGGCGAAUCAGAGGACGAAGAUGAAGAGUAUGAUAAUUUCGACAUGGAUUACAGCUUUGGUCGUCUGAAUCUUGGCGAUAGUGGCAUUUUGAGCCUACAACAACAAUAUGAAACAUUUUUAAACUCUCAACAUGACAAACGCGACGACCCCGAAGAAGUAAUUGAAUUCCAUCUUGUGAAUGAUACCGACAUUGAGUUAGAUUCCGAUCUUGAUAUUGCCGAAGAACAGGCGAACAUAAACCGUAUAAUGGGAUAUAAAAACUAUCCAGAAAUCCUAAUCGAUGAUCCGGAUGCUGGUUUUCCCCUACUGCAUGAAAUCGGUGAGACAAUCGAUGAAUUGCAGUUAAUUAUGCACGCCCAUAUUAUGAAAUAUAGUUUGAGUUUAUAAAAAAAAAUAUUCAAAGUUAAUACAUAAAUAUUGUCGUUGUUUUUACUGUUACUGUUCUGUUACUCUUACAAUUACUCUAUUUAAAACAAAUCCCAAGAUUUUGAUGACCCUCAAUCAAUCGAUUGGACGGAUAAGACUAAUUCAAGCAGCAGCCAAUGGCAGGAACAAUUCGCCCAGUGGUCUUUACAUACUCAAAAGAACUAAUUCCAUGUUUAUUGUUAUUUAAAAAAAUUAAUAGAACUAAAAAUAACUUAUUAAAUUAUAUAAAUGAUAAAAUGAUUUGUAACUUAGUUCAAAUACAUACUUAAAUAUAUACACAAUGAUAUGAUCUUAAUAUAUAAACAUAAUAUAUACACAAAAACCUAUUAUAUAUACAUAUGUAUGUAUGUACGCAUGUAUGUAUCUAUUAACAAUUCGUAUACUUAAUUGACUAGAAGAGAAAAAUACUUAUAUACUGAAGAUACUUAACAUACAUACAUAAAACAGUAAUGUGAACUUUUUUUAUUUAAUUCUAAUAAUAUAAAAAUAAUUUUAAUAUUUAUAAAUUAAUAAAGUACUUAGUUUAAUAUAAAAAAAAAAAAAUACCAUAAACUUAAGUUUUAAAUUUCUAUAGGAAUAUUUCAUACACAUACAUACGUAUAAAUUAUUUGUUACUACAUGAAACUAACGUAAUUUAAAAGAUAUUUUUUCUUGAAAUUCUUCAACAGAAUCUCUUUGCUUGUCUUGUCAAAAAUAUUCUAUUUUAUAUAACAUAGUAUUUCUGCAUAUAUAAUAUUAAAAUGAUUUUGUAUUAAAAAUAUAAAAAAGAAAACAUGAUAGCCAAAUGUUUCUGAAAUGAUUCAUAAUCUAUAAUAAGAAAAAAAAAUACAACUCUAUUCAUUGAUUAAUACACCAAUUGACUGAUAUUGAAAACAGCAAAAAUUAAUCAAGUUGAACGCUUUAAAUUAUAAAUACAUAAUAUGUAUGUACAUUAGUGGCUCAAAAAUUUGGUCAUUUAUCUUAAAACAAUUUCUUUUUCCAAUUAGUCACCAAAACAUAAUUUUUAAUCCGAGAGGGCCUUUCCUAAUGUACUAACAUAAAAAAUGUUACUGCGCCAUCAUAAAAAUCUAUAAGUAUGUAAUUUUGAAAAAAUUAAAUGUUUAAAAUUUGUUUUUAUGGCUCUUUUUGUAGGCGCAGUAAUAAAUUUUCAAAAAUAAAUACAUAUAUUAAAAGCAACAAAUUAAAAUAUGAAGGAAAAUAGUAGACGAGAUUUAUUGUUAAUUAAAAAAUUUAUAAUACUUACAUAUACAUAUAUAUAUACUUACAUAGAUAUUUAUUAAUUAAUACAUAAAUUGUGCGUACUUAAUCAUUUUAAAAUAGAGUUUAAACAAAAAUAAUUAUAACAAAAACAAAUCAUGAAACAUGAAUGAAAAAAAAAACAACAAAAUAACUUUGUGCAUACAUACUUAUACAUUGCACACGCAAGUACAUGAUGAAUUUAUAUAGACAGAAAAUAAUAAAUAUAGCAAAUGGCAGUUAA